UGCAGCGACAUUCACAUUUAAUUCACAUGCUGUCCAUUUCUUCUGAUCCUCCUCGAGAUGGUUCUGCUUCUUUAUUGGAGUCCAGCUGUGUUUAAUUAAACUGAUUGGACUUGAUUAGGAAAGGCACACACCUCUCUAUAUAAGACCUUACAGCUCACAGUGCAUGUCAGAGCAAAUGAGAGUCAUGAGGUCGAAGGAACUGCCCAAGGAGCUCAGAGACAGAAUUGUGGCAAGGCAUAGAUCUGGCCAAGGUUACAAAAGAAUUUCUGCAGCACUCAAGGUUCCUAGGAGCACAGUGGCCUCCAUAAUCCUCAAAUAGAAGAAGUUUUGGGACGACCACAACUCUUCCUAGACCUGGCCGUCCAGCUAAACUGAGCAAUCGUGGGAGAAGAGCCUUGGUGAGAGAGGUAAAGAAGAACCCAAAGAUCACUGUGGCUGAGCUCCAGAGAUGCAGUCGGGAGAUAGGAGAAAGUUCCACAAAGUCAACUAUCACUGCAGCUCUCCACCAGUUGGGGCUUUAUGGCAGAGUGGCCCGACGGAAGCCUCUCUUCAGUGCAAGACGCAUGAAAGCCCACAUAGAGUUUGCCAAAAAAACACACGAAGGACUCCCAGACUAUGAGAAAUAAGAUUCUCUGGUCUGAUGAGACCAAGAUUGAACUUUAUGGUGUUAAUUCUAAGCCGUAUGUGUGGAGAAAACCAGGCACUGCUCAUCACCUGCCCAAUACGAUCCCUACAGUGAAACAUGAUGGUGGGAGCAUCAUGUUGUGUGGGUGUUUUUCAGCUGCAGGGACAGGACGACUGGUUGCAAUUGAAGGAAGGAUGAAUGCGGCCAAGUACAGAGAUAUCCUGGAGGAAAACCUCUUCCACAGUGCUCGGGACCUCAGACUGGGCCAGAGAUUCACCUUUCAACAGGACAAUGACCCUAAGCACACAGCUAAAAUAACAAAGGAGUGGCUUUAGAACAACUUUGUGACCGUUCUUGACUAGCCCAGCCAGAGCCCUGACCUAGAACCAAUUGAGCAUCUCUGGAGAGACCUCAAAAUGGCUGUCCACCACCAUUCACCAUCCAACCUGACAGAACUGGAGAGGAUCUGCAAGGAAGAAUGGCAGAAGAUCCCCAAAUCCAGGUGUGAAAAACUUGUUGCCUCAUUCCCAAGAAGACUCAUGGCUGUACUAGCUGAAAAGGGUGCUUCUACUCAAUACUGAGCACAGGGUCUGAAUACUUAUGACCAUGUGCUAUUUCAGUUUUUCUUUUUUAAUAAAUUUGCAAAAAUUUCUACAUUUCUGGGUUGUUGUUUUUUUUGUCAAGAUGGGGUGCUGAGUGUACAAUAAUGAGAAAUAAAAUGAACUUUUUUGAUUUUCGCAAAUGGCUGCAAUGACACAGAGAGUGAAAAUUUCAAGGGGUCUGAAUACUUUCCGUACCCACUGUAUACUUGUUUCACACUUGUAUUUGAAUGGGCGGACAGAAAAGUUCUUGAUUCUUUGUGGUUUACGGUACAAAACUAAAGUAGAUUUUUGUGUCUUUUUUGGUCAAUGUCAGGGUGAAAACAAAAAAAACUAACAAAAUUUAAAGAUAAAAUAAAUUAAAAACAGAAUGAAUAAUUUUACUUAAUACAUUGUAUUUUUGGAGCCAUUUAACUAUAUUGUAACAGCCCCUUUUCUCCAUUUCCAACCCAUUAAGUUCACUUUUUUGCUAUACAGUCUCAAGCUAUCAAUAUGACUAGAAGGAAAUCUGAAAAUUUGACACUGAUGCCUAGUAGUCAAAUUCCAACCCUGUGUUCAAAAUUCUAAAGUAGUUUGCACACAAUUUAAAGAGUUUAUAUUUAUAACAUAGUGAUGUAAGUGUAAGCAGGUAUGCGUUUGUUGUUGCACAAUAUCUUUCCUCACCAAGCCUAGUUGCCUUUGGAGAGAUAUUGAAACAGUAUUAUAUAAUACAGUAUACAGCAGGAGCACACUUCAUUAAUUAAAUGUCAAAUGAUUUUAAACUGUAUCAGCUUACAUUAAUUAGAUUACCUCUCAACUUAAAUCGAACAGUAGAAUAACUGCUGUUUAAGAUUUACCAUAAUAAAAAUACAGGCCCACAGUAACAACUUAAUGCAACAAAAAUCAGUCAUUACUGGGAUUCAGAUAUUAUAUAUUUUUUAAUAUUUUGUAUAUUUACCUUGAUUUUGGAUGACAGACUCAAUUCUCUUCUGCAUGAGUGAUAACAAUACCACAAAGUUGUAGAGAGAUGUUCUGUCUACAGACAGUGGGGAUGUAUUGCUCAACCUGACUCUUUAAAACACCCCAGAGAUUCAAAUUAGUCAACAUACUUGUCCAUGUCAUAAUUUUCAUUUUUGGCAGUAUGUUUUUUUAAUCAUUAAAAUGCUUGAAUAUUUCUCUUCUGCUAAAUGUCUGCAAAUUGAAACUCAUCUUGUCAGCCAGUAUUUUGGUAUAGUCAUAGACAUUCACGGUGUAUUCUAUAAAUGUCCUCUCCCAAAAAAUGUUUGCAUUCAUGCAGCCCCAUAUCAUCAUACUCCUACCUCUGUGCUUCCCUGUCAGGACCAUGCAUUCAUUGAGUAGUCCUGAACAAGGUCACACCAAACUGGAUCUCAUCUGAGCCAAAUAAAUUUAUCUUGGUCUAAUCUUUGCAAAAAACGUGCUCCAACAUUUAUCAUGCUUCUCUUAGUGUUUUCAAGUUUUGUCGUCCAGUUUUGAAUUAUACAGCAAGACAAGGCGUUUUUCUUGGAUGCUGUCUAAAGGGGCUGAUAUUAUGUCAUGUCGUUUACACUGUCACUGACAGGUCCGAUUUACAUUGAUAAUCAGUGAAAAGCACCUGCACGUCUGUUUUCUACAGCUAGAUUGUGCAGGGAGUGCAUUGCCUGUGGCAUUAAUUUAGGAGGAUGGGCACUGCAACCUUGAUUCUAGACUUCUUGAUUAUGGCUGCAACUGAGUUUCCAAAAUAAUUUUUUUGUUGGUCACUGAUCUUCCUGUAUCAUUCCAUUAAUUGGUGUUCAAAUCCGUAGUUACAGAUUAGUUGUUAGCUAGCACAUCAAUAACCCAUUUUCAGCUUGCAAUGUUUAUAUACUGGUUAUAUACACUGAUCAGGCAUAACAUUAUGACUACCUAAUAUUAUGUUGGUUCCCAUUGUGCUGCUAUAACUCCUCUGACCCAGCGGGGCAUAGACACAGGACCUCUGGGGAUGUCCUGUGGCACCAGGAUGGUGGCAGUGAAUUCUACGUUUGGGGUCAUUCAGAAAUGUCCUUAUUUUUGAAAGAAAAUUAGCUUUUUUUUCAAUGAAGAUAGCAUUAAAUGAAUCAGAAAUACAAUCUAGACAUUCUUAAUGUCGUAAAUGACUAUUCUAACGAAAACGGGUGAUUUUUAAUGGAAUAUCUACAUAGGGGUAUAGAGACCCAUGUCCAGGAACCAUCACUCCUGUGUUCUAAUUGUACAUGUUGAAAGGCUAAUUGAUGAUUAAAAAAACCCUUGUGUAAUUACGUUAGCACAUGAAUAAAAAUGUGAGUUUUCAUGGGAAACAUAAAAUUGACCAGGGGACUUUUGAACUGUAGUGUAGAUCAGGCAAAUCCUGGCACAUCCCACAGAUGCUCAAUAAGAGUGUGGAACCUGGGUGAACAUCUUAGCUCUGUCAUGUUCCGCAGGCCACUCCUGAGGGGAGAGGUUGGAGGUUGCUUGACCUGCAAUGUUUAGGUGGGUGGUACAUGUCAAACAUCCACAUGAAUGUCAGGACUCAAGGUUUGCCAGCAAAAUGUUGCAUUAUUGCAAGAUGAUUGAUGUUAUUCACUGCACUUAUAGGGCUACACAGUGGUGUAAUGGUUAGCACUUUCACCUUGCAGCAAGAAGAUCCCAGUUCAAAUCCCAGGGUGGGCCUGGGAUCUUUCUGCAUGGAGUUUGCAUGUUCUCCCUGUGCAUGCGUGGGUUUUCUCCGGGCACGCCGGCUUCCUCCCACAGUCCAAAAAUAAGCUGAGGUUAAUUGAGUAUUCUAAAUUGCCCAUAGUUGUGAAUGCAAAUGUGAUUGUUUGUCUGUAUUUGUGGCCCUGCGACAGACUGGCGACCUGUCCGGGGUGUCCCCUGCUGGGCUCCAGCACCCCCUGUGACCCUAGUGAGGAUAAAGCGAUGUAUAGAGAAUGGAUGGAUGGACUUCACUUAUAAGUGGUCAUAAUAUUGUGAUCGCUGCAUUUUAGUAAGGGCUUCUGAAGUCAAGCACUUAGAUACGCUAAUCUUGCCACAGUCAUUACAGUACAUUUUUAAUAUAGUCUGUUUUCUUUUGUUGUUGUUGUUUUUUUUUUUUAGGUUUAAAUGGCAUUAGAUAAGCUCUGGUAAAAUGUAAAGAUGAAUUAUCUUUCACACAUCAGCAACUGUGUUUUCAAUUUUCACUCACUGUGAUGUGGUGGAAAAGAAUGCAUCAUGUGCUAAAAAGACUAACAUAUUCACUUCAUCUAGCUGAAUUUUAAAACUCAGGAAUGUAUAUUUUGUCAUUCUUGUAUUCGUCAGAGCAAGGGCUUUCAUAGAGUGAUAUUGUAUUGCCAUGGAAACAGUAAGUUAGAUGACGAAUACACCUUAAGCCCCAUUUCUAAAGCUUGUAUGCAUGAAUGUGCAGCAACAAUCACUGGCUUACUUACCAGGCAGGUUAGAGCAUCAUAGGGAGCAAGUUUUCAUAUUUUUAAAUAGACUUAAAGUUGUUAAUUUACAAUGGGCAUCACAGACAAAUCUUGGAUGUAUGACUCUUUCUGAAUCCAAAUUAAAAGGGACAAAUUUAAUAACUUGCUCAUCUUGUAGCAUCAACCUGUCUUCGCCUGAUCAGAGGAGUAGUAACAACUAACUUUUAACCAACAUACUGUAUGAGCAUGUCAGUAGAAACUCUGCAUUAGCUGCAUAUAAUCCUCCUUUAUUCUAUUGUUUACUCGUAUAUACAUACAUAUUAUAGGCUUACAUGAUUUAAACACAAUGUAUUGUAUGAAGAAUAUAUUUCACUCAUGUUGAAUUUUACACCUCACAUUUGGUAACUGUAACUUCCUUAAUGUAUAUCACUAUUUAGUGAAUGUUUUGUCUUCUGUUUUCUAUCUUGGUUCGUGCAGUUGAUAUUUGAUCUUGUGUUUAAGGGCUAAUCCGUACAUUUAUGCGUAUAUACAGCUAAAUUAGUUGAACAGUGGUAAUAUGUGAGAUUAUUUAUGGUUCACAUCUCUUCUCCCACUAAUAUUGUAAUUACUGUAAAAAAAAAGACUUUGUACAUGUGUACUUGAAGCCUGACUACCCUCAUGUCUCACUGAUGGAUGAGUGACAUUCUUGUAAAUUAUUGCUCUUUAUGUGUUUUAUGGUGUAAUGUCAAAUGUAUCUUCCUAAACUCUG